rnacentral:rRNA from 1 species
AAGAAUAUCGGAGACGGAUGGGCAUGCGGCGCAUUAGCUGGUUGGCGGGGUAACGGCCCACCAAGGCGACGAUGCGUAGGGGUUCUGAGAGGAAGGUCCCCCACACUGGUACUGAGACACGGACCAGACUCCUACGGGAGGCAGCAGUGAGGAAUAUUGGUCAAUGGGCGAGAGCCUGAACCAGCCAAGUCGCGUGAGGGAGUACUGCCCUAUGGGUUGUAAACCUCUUUUGUCGGGGAGCAAAAGCCGGACGUGUCCGGCUGUGAGAGUACCCGAAGAAAAAGCAUCGGCUAACUCCGUGCCAGCAGCCGCGGUAAUACGGAGGAUGCGAGCGUUAUCCGGAUUUAUUGGGUUUAAAGGGUGCGCAGGCGGAUUUUUAAGUCAGCGGUCAAAUCGUGGGGCUCAACCCCAUCCAGCCGUUGAAACUGGGGAUCUAGAGUGUGCGAGAGGUAUGCGGAAUGCGUGGUGUAGCGGUGAAAUGCAUAGAUAUCACGCAGAACCCCGAUUGCGAAGGCAGCAUACCGGUGCACAACUGACGCUCAGGCACGAAAGCGUGGGUAUCGAACAGGAUUAGAUACCCUGGUAGUCCACGCAGUAAACGAUGAAUGCUACCUGUUUGGCCAGAUUGAUGGCUGAGCGGG